rnacentral:lncRNA from 1 species
UGAAAACUCUCUCUCAGUUUAUCCAUAAUUUGGGUUUAGCAGAAAAAGACUUGAAAUUAUCCCUUAAAAACACAUUCAAAAAACUGAACAAAACAUGUUUAAAGAACUCAGGAAAACAUGAUGACAAUGAUUCAAAUAGGAAAGAAAUGGACCUACCAAAAUAAAGUAUCUAGAGUUGAAAACACAGUAAGUAAGACAAAAAAUGGACUCAGGAGCUCCCAUUGUGGUGCAGCAGUUAAUGAAUCUGACUAGGAACCAUGAAGUUGCAGGAACUCCUAUAUUUAGAAAUUUAAAGUCUUCCCACAAAGAAAAGCGUAGGGACGGACAGCCUCACUUAUGAACUAUUCAAAAAUUUUAACGAAGAAAAAAAGUUCUAUGCAAAUACUGUCAGAGGACAGGAAAGACCACUUCCCAACUCAUUCUACAAGGACACUAUUACCUUGAUAGCAACGCCAAACAAGGACAUUGUAAGAACAAAACUGAAGAAAAACAAACACCCCCCUUCACAGAACAAUAUUUCCUGUAAGUAUGGACACAAAACCCCCAAAUCGAAAUCGCCAAUAUAUAAACAGAAUCGUAUACCAUGUCCAGGUAGGAUUUAUCCCCAAAAUGCAAGGUUGGUUUCACACCUAGAAAUCAACUGCUCCGCCACACUAAUGGACAUGAGGAGAAAAGUCACAUCGCCAUCUCAACGGCCACUCAGUAAAGCAUUUGACAAAAUAAUUAAUGUAUGGGGGUUCCCAUUGUGGCUCAGCAGGUUAAGAACCCCACAGAGUAUCUGUGAGGAUGCACCUUUGAUCCCUGGCCUCGAUCGGUGGGUUGAGGAUCUGGCAUUGCCGCAAGCUGCAGCACAGCUCCAGUGUGGCUAUGGCUGUGGUGUAGGCCUGCAGAAAGCAGCUCUGAUUCAACCCCUAGCCCAGGAACUUCCAUGUGCCACUGGUGUGGCCAUUAAAAAAAAAAAAAGUUACCAAAAGUCUUAACAGACUAGAAAUAGACACUUCGCAACUGGCUAAGGUGAUCUACAGAAACCUCACAGCUCAUAUCAUACUUAACGUGAAAGGCUGAAGCUGUUCCCCUCAAUACCCCCCAAACUAUGAGCAAGACGUUCGUGUGGGGAGUCCCACUGACCUUCGUGCCACAGGUUCCACGUGGCACAGAAGGCCAACGCAGACGGACUGGAAAGAAAGCAGAACGGUCCCUGGUACGAUCCGAUUCGUACGCAGGGGAAAACGAAGGAACUUACAGAACAACUACGAGGACUGAGAGGUGGGUUUAGCAAGCUUGAAGGACACAAGACCAGGUAUAAAAAUCGAUUUUACUCCUAGGUAACAGUGAAUGGAUGGUCCACAAGUGCAAAGAAGAAAGGAGUCCCAUUCAACGUAUCGAAAAGAAUAAAACAGCUGGGAAUCAACUUCAUGAAAGAAGUUCAAGAAUUUUCCACUGAAAUUAAAGAUCUAAAUAAAUCAGGCCCAUGGGCUCCUACUGGAGGGAGCUGGGCAGAUCUGCGAAGGGGCGGCUCCCAGUGCGCCUGGCCGGGCGGACAGCCAGUACUCGGGGCGUCCUCCCGGAGCGGAAGCUGCCGGAGAAGAGUUUACAGCUGAGGACUAUGGUGACGUUCACACAUGGACACACAGUGCGGUCUGGGGUCACGAUGUUGCCUGAAAUGUGUGACCAGUCAUCCAAUGCAGGGUUACUGAUUCUGGAAAAGCAAAGCCACGGGGCUUUGUGUCCUUGAAACGUUUCUUCGGAUUCCUUGCUUUCAGCUCUCUUCUCAGGGAGCAGAUCCACACCUAACAUUCUGCAGCAGGAUCAGGACUAAGUCAGGGCUGCUCAGAGGAUAAGCAUGAACCGUGCCAGGCUGGCAGCACGACUGCAGAGUGACACCUGACUGCAUAAAAGCAGCGCGGUGACCCAGGCUCAGCACGCGUCCUUCAUCAGCCUUCGCUUCAUGAGUCUGCCCGCCUGCAGGACCACAGCCAAACCACAUCCUAAGGCUGGCGCUGGCUGCGAUGAGGGGGCGCGGAGAGGACAUUCUGCAGGAGACCCACAGAAAGCUUGAGCAUCUUCACUGCCGCUUACGUCCAGAACAGCUGGCCGUGGAAAGCUGCACUGCCACGUCCAUCCUCAGCUGCGGUACUGAUGAGGCGCUGCUCCAGCUGUGAACGGGUCCACACUCCCAGCGCGUGCUCUUGAGUGACGUCUCGAGUCUGUAUUUCACAGAGAGUACUUCCUACCAGACACGGAACCCUUGCUUCGUGUGAAAGCAAUGUUUUCUCUGGCUUCCCCCAAAGAAACAAUUCCAUUAUACAGAGAGCAGGGGACAGGAAAGAGAGGGACCUGUAUUCUGACUGCCCAUCUGGCUCAUCAACCCUGACGUUCAGCCGUAACGGACUUGGGUGUUUCUAAGUAAAAAGCAGCAUGAUGCAACCGAAACCCACUGGGCAUCCACUUCCCAGGAGCCCCUCUCCUGGCCACUGUCCACGGUCCCAAAUCUGACAUUUAUGUCUUUGAAAAAGAGCGCUGCCUGUCUACAUCCAGGUAACAUGCUGGAUCAUUCUGCAUGAUUUCAAGCUCUAUACACUUUCAUCAGUGUUUGAAAGAAAUCCAUAGUCAUCCAUGGAGACCUAGCACACUCCUUUUAAAGGCUGUAUAAUAUUCCACAACAUGAACAAGUCACGCAUCCAUUUACCCAUUUCUCAUGCUGGUGGACAGCUAGGCACUCUCCAUUCUUCUCUGUUGCAAACAACAUUUCUGCAGAUAUCCUUGCCAAUAACCCUUCAGGCACAUGGCUACUCGCGCAAGGCACACGCCUAGGAGAAACGCUGCUAAAUGACACAGUGCAGGCACCCAGAACUAGCAGGACAGGGCCAGAGCGCUGCCUGAAGUGGUUAACCAUUCACACGCCUCCCC